GACAACAGUUGAACCAACGAACUGUCAAAAUCCCGAGCCUUGGAAAAAUGCAACAAACGAUGGCUCUCAAAAAUCACCCAAACAACAAAGCCGACGUAGCUGCUUCUCUGCUAAAAACAUGCUCAUCCCUCUCUCAGCUCAAGCAAAUCCACGCCCACAUCUUCCGCUUUGAUCUCCACAGAAACGCUUCCUUAGCUUCCACUCUCGUUUCUCUCUAUGCCUCUCUCUACUCCCCUCUGUACUCCCGUCUCGUCUUCUCUUCUUUCUCUCACCCAAAUCUCUCUCUCUUCAACCACGCCAUUAGAGCUUUCUCCAAGAUUCCGUCGCUUUGUUCUGAAUCACUGAAUUUGUAUGCCCAGAUGAUUCUUUUUGGGAUUAGACCAGACAAUUUUACAUACCCGUUUUUGCUUAACUCUUGCGCCUGUCUUAAUGAUCUUUGUCGUGGAACUGAAAUCCAUGGACACGUUGUGAAAACGGGUUUUGGUGUGUGUGUUCCAGUCUCGAAUGCUUUGAUUGAUAUGUAUGGUAAAUGUGGUUCGUUGGAGAAGGCACGUCAGCUGUUUGAUGAAUUGGGUGCAAAAGGAGAUGUUGUGUCCUAUAAUUCUCUUCUAGGGGCUCAUGCCAGAGUUGGGGAGGAUAUGGUAAAUGCCCAAGAAGUGUUUGAUGGGAUGCAGGUCAGAAAUGUGAUAUCCUGGAAUGCAAUGAUUGUGGGUUAUGUAAAUAGUGGAGAUCUAGAUUCGGCCCGUGCUAUUUUUGAUAGGAUGCCUCAGAGAAAUUCCGUUUCUUGGACUGCGAUGUUGGUGGGUUAUACUAAAAAUGGGCUCAUUGAUGCGGCUAAAGCUCUCUUUGAUGAAAUGCCGGAAAAGAGUUUGGUUUGUUGGACAGCAAUGAUUUCUGGGUGUGCACAAAAUGGGAGACCAAGUGAAGCACUGGAACUUUUCCGGAGGAUGGAGAAAGCACAUGUAAGACCAGAUGCUUAUACUAUAACUGCAGUAAUAUCUGCAUCGGCACAAUUAGGCCGAGCAGAUAUUGCAAAUUGGAUUGCAUCUUAUGUGGAACAAGAAGGCAUUGAGCAGAAUGAUCUGGUAUUAACUGCCCUAGUAGAUAUGCAUGCAAAGUGCGGUAACAUGGAAGAGGCAUGCAGCGUGUUUGACCAGAUCCACCAGCAGGAUGUCUUCUCGUAUAGUGCACUAAUCACAGGUCUAGCUUCACAUGGUCAUGGGGUUAAAGCUCUGGAAAUAUUUCACAGAAUGCUAGCAGAAAAUGUUGAACCCGAUCAAAUCACAUUUGUUGGAGUACUGACUGCCUGUAGCCAUGCAGGGCUCUUCGAAGAUGGAAUGAGAUAUUGGGAAAGCAUAAUAAAAGAUCACAAGAUUGUGCCUGAUGCUAAUCUCUUCUCUUGCAUGGUUGAUAUGCUGGGACGCGCUGGAAAACUUAAUGAGGCUUACAAAUUAGUGGAAAGCAUGCCCAUGGGGCCACAGCCUGGAGCGUUGGGUGCUUUGCUUGCAGCAUGCAGAACAUAUGGCAAUGUUGAGAUUGCGGAAAUUGUUGCUAAGCAACUAUUCAAAUUAGAACCUGAAAAUACUGGGAAUUACAUGCUUCUUUCCAGUAUCUAUGCCUCAAGGGAAAGGUGGGACGAGGCCAGAAGGAUUCGGGAAGCAAUGAAGGAGAGAAUUAAAAUUAAGCUUCCUGGUUGCAGUUGGGUUGAGAUCAAUUGCUGUGAUCAUGGAAUUCAAGCGAAUAACUGAACAUUUAUGUAUUUAAAGCAAAACCCUGGUAAGCUUUCAUCAUUGGACUGAAAUAUAAGAAAUGCACACUUUCUGCUCUGAAUGACAUUUUUAACCCUCAGCUUUGACAAUUUAUAUAAAGACUGGAUUCAAGUCCUGAAAUAGCAUGGUUAAUCUCCUAUGAAAUUCCUUAAUAAAACUUUGUCUGCUAACUUGUUGAAAAAUCAGCAAGUAGUUUCUCAAGAUAAUCACAGAUUCCAUGCCCCUGUUGGCCCGCAUGACUUGAAGGCAGUCAACCGAUACAUUUGGCACCACAUGCUGCAAGUUGCCAAUAAUGUGUGCCAAUAAAACCUUUUUGUUUAAAAACUCAUGGUGGGUUAAGUUCUCUCCAUUUGUACUUAAACUUCCAUUACGAGAUGCAUUGGGUUCUGUUCUCGCUUAUACUACUUUCUUUUACUGGUCCCUAGAAGGUAUGUUUACCCAGGAAGCAGGAAAGAUGGCAAGGAAAACUAUUUCUAUUGUUUCUGUGAGCUGACGGCUUACAUGUUGUUAGGUCCAUCUGAGCUAGAUAAAAGCAAACGGGAAUCUGAAUUGUGGCUAGUUUGCUUGGAGUAUCAAGAAAACGUUGGUGACACAUCCCAUGUAGUGACAUGCUCUCUUUUUCUGAUGUUUACAGGAAAGCUAUGUUGUUCUGCAAAGAGAUAAUGAUUGCUGUCUCGAUGUUCAACAGAACUGCACACUGCAAUAACGAUGAAUGAGAGAGAGCUGUGAUAGUUCUUCAAAAGAAAAAUAUUGCAGCGAUCAGUUCUGUAUAUGAUAACUCCAAAGGGCCAUUACCCACUGUUUCUCUGUCAAAACAGCGUCCAUUUGGCUGAUGCCUGGGGUAACGAUUUCAAUAUGGUCAAAACCUUCAGAAUUUUCCAUUUCUGUGACUUUCAUUUGUGGCUCAAGUCACUAAAACUACUAGAUGCUUCUGACCUUAGUACUUGAAACUUUUUGUGGUGAGAUGCUUGUUUUAGCUUUCAACCUGUGGAAAGCUUCUAAUAUUACAUCCCUUUAAUUGAGCGGGUUUUAUAUUUGGAAAUGGCCUUAACAUUAUCAGUUUAGCAAAUUAUUUGAUGUUCUUAUCCUGUUGUUUCUAGCAUGAUGAAGUCUUGCCUAGUGAUUGGUCCUCUCCAGAACAAACCCACUACCAAGUCCUAAACUGUUGUAGUUUAGCGGGAAAUGUGAAGUCAUCAACAUCCUUUUGGUUUUAACAUUAUAUGCAUAUAGUUUAUAACAUUUCUACUACACUUGUGACUUUAAAAGGGAUCAUUUCCUGCACAUUUUUUCUUCAUAUAAGCUAUCUUGCUGCUGUGAAUUAUAAUAUGUAGUAUACCGUAACGAUUAACGCAUUUAUGUAUUUGCAAAGAAAUUAUAUUCCUCUGAAUAUUGAUAAUAAUGAGUCGAACUGCAGAAAUCGUGGUUGCUGCCACUGCCGCAAGGAGAGAAGAGAACAAUGUUCAACAAGUGCCACACCUUUUCUAGUCAGGCUGUCUUUCCCUUCACCUGCCAAAAUGAUCAAGCAAGCCUAAUUUACUUCAAGUUUAUUUUCGACUUCUUCAGCUUGUCAUGUAAAGCAGCACAGGACAGUUAAGUUACCUUCAUGAAAAUCAUGCUUGGGAACACAAAGGAGGUACUCUACACCAACCCAAACUAUUCACUGCUUGAUGACGUCAGUUAUUUUCCGCCAUCAUCAAUCAUGAUCCAUGUAAAUCGUUAUUGGAAUCUCCAUUAUUACACCAAAAAUAGUUUUUGACACUUGAUGUAGCUUUGCUAUCACUACUAUUAUAUCGUGUAGGAUAGAACUCUUACAGCUCCUUGGUUUUUGGAUUUUAUCUGUAUCCAUAUAGGAGUUUAGGUAUGUAAACACGAUGCUUCUAUGUCGUUAAUGAAGCCUCUUUUAAGAUUUAAGAGCUUUGUAUUGAGAUAGGGAUAGAAAAUGUUAUCUUUGAAGGGGAUGCUCUUGCAGUGGUUAAAGCUGUCCAGAUGAAUGAAGAGGAUUGCUCAUGGUAAGGUCACAGAUUAUAGAAGAUAUUAAGGCUCUUUUCCAUGGGAAAGAGAUGUGGAGAAUCCAACAUGUUCAAAGAGAGGGUAAUCAAGCUGCACAUCAUCAACUAUCAAAGUUAGCCAUAUCUUGUGAACAUGAGAUUGUGCGGAUUGAAGAAGGUCCUGAGUUGAUUAUGCAUUGUAUUAAUUUCAAAAAACAUUGUAACGCAUAAGUUAUGAAUGA